GGGAAGGUUUAGGAGCUUGAAGGAAGGUGGCCCGUACCAAGCAGACUGCCCGUAAGUCCACUGGUGGCAAGGCCCCCAGGAAGCAGCUGGCCCACCCACUGGUGGGUUGAAGAAACCCCAUCACUACAGGCAGGGUACUGUGGCUCUCCAUGAAAUCAGACGUUACUAGAAGUCCACAGAGUUUCACUGAUUCGGAGAUUUCCCUUCCAGCAUCUGGUCCGUGAAAUCGCUCAGGACUUCAAAAAAGAUUUGCGCUUUCAGAGCGCUGCUAUUGGUGCUUUGCAGGAGGCUAGUGAGGCCUACCUGGUCGGUCAGUUUGAAGACACCAACUUGUGUGCUAUUCACACCAAACGCGUAACAAUUAUGCCAAAAGACAUCCAGUUAGCACGUUGCAUACGAGGAGAACGCGCUUAAAUUCCUACCGCGAGGAACCCUUUUCAUCUUCAAACACAAAAAAAAAAAAUCUCCUCUUCUUGUCAUUGGUAGUUAUGAACGUUAGAUAUUUUUUUUUCUCCAUGGGGUUAAAAGAUACCUAAAUAUAUGGUUGUGAAUGGAAAUUCUAGGGGACAGAAUCGAAUUUGGGGAAACGUUUUUUUCCCUUUUGAUUUGUGUGUGAAUUCUCCAUAUAAA